rnacentral:misc_RNA from 1 species
UGAGGGGGAAAAAAAACCACGUAUUCACAAUAGAAGAUGGUUUCGUUGUCGCUAUUAAAUGACAAAAAGGUUAACGAUGGAAACGUGGCGGCCUGUUUCAAAGGAACAAUAACUCUGGAUGGUACAAAGAGGUUGAAUCUCUUUGGUAGAAGGCAAACCGUAGCUAUCUGGAUAGAGCUGCUGUUAAUCUGGAACAUGUCUCUGUCCACGAUAAGAGGUGCCAAACACAUUUGAUGUCACCCAUCACCUCCCUGGCCUUAGUGAUAACGGUAGGAGCGGAAGAAUGAGGAAAGUUAAAAAGGGAAGGGUGGAGGGAGAUUGAAGCUAUGCUGGCACUCAUAGUAGAUGAUACCGUUCUUUAAAAGGCGUAAAUAAAGAUUGGGUAGAGGUUUGGUGGAAAGGAAAAGGAAGGAGACAAGAGAAGUGAUGGGAGAUUCAGGCCUUGUGGACUAUUUAACGUCUCUGCCGCUACGUAGAAUAGAUGACUAUGUCGUCGAAUCGUCCGCUGCUCAAGUAAUGUGCCGGAAAUUUGAGAGUGACUUCCCUUACUAUAGCGUAACGACUGUUGUUGAUAGCAGUGGUCUGUGUGUGCACGAACGUUUGUAGGAGAUAGAAGUUUGUGGUGUAAGUCUGUACUGUGGUUGACAGCAGUGGUUUAUUUACGUUUGUGCUGUGGUUGAUAGCAGUGGUCUAUGUAAGUCUGUGCUGUGGUUUGAAUCUGCGGCACGUCGCUCCUGUCAAAGGUUAUGGUCUUUCAUGCAGACGACCAAAGGGAUAUAACUGCUGGCGAAAGCGCUGUCUGAAAAGUUCAACAGUGGUAAUUAAAUAGAAGUGUAUUAACUCUUCGCAACAAGUUGUAAGACCGCUUCAGUUUGUUGAAAGUCAGUAAGCAUUGAUUCGAUCAGCCUCUCAUCAAAGCAUUGGGAUGAAUUCAAACUGGAGAACCGUAGAGGCCUGGAGGGAUAUGAAUGUCUGCCUGACCACACCUAGUAAUGAGGCAUGUAAAAUGUUUGAUGCUACCCUCACACAGUAUGUCACCUGGCAAGAACUUGACAGUGUUGGUGGCAUCGAAGGCUCACUAGAUAAAAUGCUACGAGCCGAUUCAGACUUUGUGAUGGGUCAUGUGAUGAAAAAUGGUCUGGACUUGAUUGGCACUGGUCGCACGACGAGACUGGACCCUGAAUUCAAGGCUGACUUUGACAGAAUGGUUGAGCUGUCUGAUAAACAGACUGGACUCUCUGCCAGUGAAAAGAAUCAUGUCAAAGCUCUCCAGCUGUUUGCUGAUGGUCACAUGGCACUGGCAGCCAAUAUAUGGGAAGACAUUCUCAUCGACCACCCACUAGACAUGCUGGCACUGAAAUUUGCUCAUGAUUCCUACUUUUACCUUGGUCAGUCCAACCAGAUCCGGGACAGCAUUGCUCGAGUUUUAAAGCAUUACCAGCCCUCAAAUCCAUUUUAUGGAUAUCAUUUUGGGAUGUAUUCAUUUGGUCUAGAGGAGACAAAUCUGUAUGACCAGGCAGAGAAAAUGGCCAGAAAGGGGCUUGAGAUCAACCCAGGUGAUGCAUGGUCCACUCACACCAUUUGUCACGUGAUGGAGAUGAUGGGUCGCCAGGAUGAGGGCAUCAGUUUUCUAGAUAAAACUGUGAAAGACUGGGAGCCCAGAGGCUUACUGGCAUGCCAUAACUUUUGGCACUGGGCUCUUUAUUACAUUGAAAAGGGUGAAUACCAAGCAGCACUGGAUAUUCUUGAUACUCAGGUAAAAGUUCGAGCUUCCAAGUCUGGUGCAUUGCUUGAUAUUGUUGAUAGCAGCUCUUUGUUAUUUAGGCUUCAAAUGGAGGGUGUGAACAUUGGAGAUCGAUGGGAAGAUGUGUUUGAGCUGUGUAGGCCCCAUCUGGAUGAUCACAUUCUGGUAUUUAAUGACAUCCAUUUUCUGCUUGGAUGUCUAGGGGCAGGGAAAGCGGAUGCUACAAAGUAUUUCAUCAACUCUUUCGAAGAGUUUGUCAGAGAUGGUGCAGGCUGCCAGCAUGAUGUGGCUGGUGGUGUGGGUCAGACCCUGUGCCAGGCCUUUGUUUCCUACUCUGCUGGUGACUUUGCCUCAGUGGUGGACUUACUUUAUCCAAUCCGUUACCAAAUCAUUUCGAUUGGUGGCAGCCAUGCUCAGAGAGAACCUGUUUAACUUGUUGCUGAUUCAGGCAGCAAUUAAGUCUUCUAGACCACGUCACCACUGCCUUGCCAGAACCCUUCUGGCAGAGCGUAAAGCACUGAAGGAAAAUGCACCAAUGACAGAUCGCCUUAUUGCACAUGCCAUGGCUGUGCAUGCCGACUAAACCAUUCAUAGCUUCUGAUGCACUUUGUCAGCACAACGGACCAGCAUAAAAAGAACUACUAGAUGGUGGAACAAGGAUAGCUGCAUCAGAAGUAUUACUGCACAUGGAGCUGAACAUGUGUGUACAGAGGUACCAAAAUAAAAAAGACACACAUGUGCGCAUAUAUGCACACACACAGAGGUGCUAAACCAAAGAGAAUUACCUACCAUGUGCAGAUAUGCGAAAAUGUCUAAAACAUAUCACUCGUUGAUAUUUACUUUUAUUUCAUUAUUCACGUUCACCAACCAGUGAUUAUCAAGUUUGAGGUGAUUGUAUGGACUCCUCUCCCAUCUGACCUUGAUGUGCCUGAAGGUGUUUCUGAGACAAAACUGCAGAACCGCCUCUAAGUAUUUCUUUGUAUUUCUCGUUUUUGGGAGUAUUGGUGCUACAUGAGCAAGUAGUUUAGUACAUGUACCUGAGUUGCUUUUGAAUGAUCCAAACUAUUUUCCAAGGAGAAAAACCAAUGGCAGCACAGAGACAUUUUGCAAAUUAUUUACAGUUUGGUCCAGUGUGUGUGUUUACCAUAGACCAACAGCUUGCGAAUGCCAGCUACUGCAGGAGGGUUAACUGCUGCUCAUGUCUUUAACUUCUUGUCAGUUCAUAGCCAUUUUGGCAAUGUGAAAUUCUAUGUCUCAUAUAGUUAUUCAACAGAGUUAUUAACCUUCACACACAAUUCCACGAUAGAUGUCAUUAGUAUACUUUCUAGUAAUGCCAGGUUUAUUAUAUAUCUUUUUGUUCUUUGGACUUUGUGACUGCAUGUCACAUUAAAACAGAAUGAUAAAGCACGUAAGUUUCCCAGUUUGCAAAUGUAUACAAAAUUCACCAGUUUAAUAUUAUUGCCUUGAAUAACUUCAGCAGAGGUGCCAUUAUUUACAAAAUGUUCUCUCUUAAAGUAUUAUGUUCAUACUAUACUUGACAACACAUUGUAAUCAGUGACUUCACAGAUGUGCACGCCUAGUUAUCUUUUGAGAAGGUAAUAAAUUUACAAUUGUUACUGCAGUAAUCUAAA